UACGUAGGGGGCAAGCGUUGUCCGGAUUUAUUGGGCGUAAAGAGCGUGUAGGCGGCCAGAUAGGUCCGUUGUGAAACCUGGAGGCUUAACCUCCAGCGGUCGAUGGAAACCAUCUGGCUAGAGUCCGGAAGAGGAGAGUGGAAUUCCUGGUGUAGCGGUGAAAUGCGCAGAUAUCAGGAAGAACACCCGUGGCGAAAGCGGCUCUCUGGGACGGUACUGACGCUGAGACGCGAAAGCGUGGGGAGCGAACAGG
rnacentral:rRNA from 1 species